GGCGUAUCUAGAUGUAAGCCGCGCGACUCGUAUCGUUUUAUCGGACUCUUAUUUUCUAAAUUUGCAUUGUAUUCGGUGAUCAAUUUACUAUUUAAUUGUGAGAUGCAUCUGCAGUGUUUUGUUAAUGAUUAAUUGUGCGUUUAAUGUCCAUAAUUUUUAUAUGUUUGCGUUUGAUGUUUACAUUCCAAAUGCAUAUUGUUGCCAUGAUGUAUCCCGUCAUUAGGAGGUCCCUUCAUACUUGAUACUUGCUGUGCCCUAACAAUCCAAUGAGCACUGCAUUGGGAUUUUGCACCUGAGUCUGACAUCGUAGAAGGACCAUUCUGGUAUCAGAUUGGAUUUUGCACCUGAGUCUGACAUCGUAGAAGGACCAUUCUGGUAUCAGAUUGGAUUUUGCACCUGAGUCUGACAUCGUAGAAGGAUCAUUCUGAUAUCAGAUUGGAUUUUGCACCUGAGUCUGACAUCGUAGAAGGACCAUUCUUGCAUCAGAUUGGAUUUUGCACCUGAGUCUGACAUCGUAGAAGGACCAUUUUUGCAUCAGAUUGGAUUUUGCACCUGAGUCUGACAUCGUAGAAGGACCAUUCUUGCAUCAGAUUGUUAGUAAUAAAUUUCAUUAUCUUAAAUAAAUGUUGUGAUUAUUACACAAAUUGACUCCCAAAAUGUAUGCCUGUGUGUUUUCUUUAAUAAAGAAUAUUUUAAAGUU